AGUGGCGCACGGGUGAGUAACGCGUGGGAACGUGCCCUUCAGUACGGGAUAACGUCGGGAAACUGACGCUAAUACCGUAUAAUAUCUCCGGAUCAAAGAUUUAUCGCUGAGGGAUCGGCCCGCGUCUGAUUAGCUUGUUGGUGAGGUAAUGGCUCACCAAGGCUACGAUCAGUAGCUGGUCUGAGAGGAUGAUCAGCCACACUGGGACUGAGACACGGCCCAGACUCCUACGGGAGGCAGCAGUGAGGAAUAUUGGACAAUGGGCGAAAGCCUGAUCCAGCCAUGCCGCGUGAGUGAUGAAGGCCUUAGGGUUGUAAAGCUCUUUCGGCGGGGAUGAUAAUGACCGUACCCGCAGAAGAAGCCACGGCUAAAUUCGUGCCAGCAGCCGCGGUAAUACGAAUGUGGCAAGCGUUGUUCGGAAUCACUGGGCGUAAAGAAUGCGUAGGCGGCUUGACAAGUCAGGAGUGAAAUCCCAGGGCUUAACCCUGGAACUGCUCUUGAAACUAUCUUGCUAGAGUCCCGGAGGGGUCAAUGGAAUUCCGAGUGUAGAGGUGAAAUUCGCAGAUAUUCGGAGGAACACCAGUGGCGUAGGCGAUUGACUGGACGGGAACUGACGCUGAGGCAUGAAAGUGUGGGGAGCAAGCAGGAUUAGAUACCCUGGUAGUCCACACCGUAAACGAUGUGUGCUAGUUGUUGGGCAGCUUAGCUGUUCAGUGACGGAGCUAACGUUUUAAGCACACCGCCUGGAAGUACGGCCGCAAGGUUAAAACUCAAAGGAAUUGACGGGGACCCGCACAAGCGGUGGAACAUGUCCUUUAAUUCGUAGCAACGCGAAGAACCUUACCUACCCUUGAC
rnacentral:rRNA from 1 species